rfam:Rattus norvegicus chromosome 3, whole genome shotgun sequence.
GGGGAUGUGGCUCAGUGGUAGAGCGCUUGCCUAGCAAGCACAAGGCCCUGGGUUCGGUCCCCAGCUCCG